rnacentral:rRNA from 1 species
CCUACGGGUGGCAGCAGUGUGGAAUAUUGGUCAAUGGACGAGAGUCUGAACCAGCCAAGUAGCGUGAAGGAUGACUGCCCUAUGGGUUGUAAACUUCUUUUAUAUGGGAAUAAAAUGUUCCACGUGUGGGAUUUUGUAUGUACCAUAUGAAUAAGGAUCGGCUAACUCCGUGCCAGCAGCCGCGGUAAUACGGAGGAUGCGAGCGUUAUCCGGAUUUAUUGGGUUUAACGGGAGCGUAGGUGGAUUGUUAAGUCAGUUGUGAAAGUUUGCGGCUCAACCGUAAAAUUGCAGUUGAAACUGGCAGUCUUGAGUACAGGAGAGGUAGGCGGAAUUCGUGGUGUAGCGGUGAAAUGCUUAGAUAUCACGAAGAACUCCGAUUGCGAAGGCAGUUCACUGGACUGCAACUGACACUGAGGCUCGAAAGUGUGGGUAUCAAACAGGAUUAGAUACCCCUGUAGUC